GGGGGCAGGAAAGACCAGACAGAGCUGCAUCUCCCAUGAAAACAACUGUGUACAUAUGAUAGAGUGAGUACAUAGAGUACAUAGAAGAGUGAGCUCUGAAAGAACUCUCACAUGGACCCCCAGAAAGAGGAGUACUCAACGCCUGCUGCACAGAAGGCAUCAGCAGUUAAGUACUGGCUAGAAAAGCGGAGUCCAUCAAAGGAGAGGACCACAGUGGUAGCUGCCUGCUAAAGCUCUCAGUGUGAAUCAUGUUCCAUCAAUGAAACACACACAUGUGCAAUGUGGAAGAUGAGUGAAAUCCAGGCUAUCUUCCUGAAGCUACUGUUCCUGGCAAGUGUAGCUGUGGGGACUGAGUUUUGGGCAGCAGCAACUAACUCCCAGCUUCCAUGUGCUUGAGAGUCAGUUGCCAGGAUGCCAGCAGCUGCAUCCUCAGUCUAAGAUUGCAGCCAAUGGUGAUGUUUUCAUGAAUCCACCGUUCACGUGGCAGCCUCCUGGAGCUCAGACUGAUGCCUGCUCCUCCAGCCUUCCAAUACCUUUGCAAACACCUGAAUUCCACAUUAAUCUCUCUCUGUUUAGAACACCCAGAGUGGCUUGGGUUUCCUGGGCUGAACCCUGCCUGGAGAGCUGUCCCUGCAAGCUGAACUAUCAGA
rnacentral:lncRNA from 1 species